CGGUAGAGAGAAGCUUCCUUCUCUUGAGAGCGGCGGACGGGUGAGUUACGCGUAGGAAUCUACCUGGUAGUGGGGGACAACAUUCGGAAACGGAUGCUAAUACCGCAUACGCCCUACGGGGGAAAGGAGGGGAUCUUCGGACCUUUCGUUAUCAGAUGAGCCUGCGUAGGAUUAGCUAGUUGGUGGGGUAAAGGCCCACCAAGGCGACGAUCCUUAGCAGGUCUGAGAGGAUGACCAGCCACACUGGGACUUAGACACGGCCCAGACUCCUACGGGAGGCAGCAGUGGGCAAUAUUGGACCAUGGGGGCAACCCUGAUCCAGCCAUGCCGCGUGUGUGAAGAAGGCCUUCGGGUUGUAAAGCACUUUCAGUGGUGAGGAAAGGGUAACCGCUAAUACCGGUUAUCUGUGACGUUAGCCACAGAAGAAGCACCGGCUAAUUCCGUGCCAGCAGCCGCGGUAAUACGGAAGGUGCGAGCGUUAAUCGGAAUAACUGGGCGUAAAGCCCGCGUAGGUGGUUGAGUCAGUCAGAUGUGAAAGCCCCGGGCUUAACCUGGGAACUGCACCUGAUACUGCUUAACUUGAGUACGGUAGAGGGCAGUGGAAUUUCCUGUGUUGCGGUGAAAUGCGUGGAUUUAGGAACGAACACCACUGGCGAAGGCGACUGCCUGGACUGAUACUGACACUGAGGUGCGAAAGCGUGGGUAGCAAACAGGAUUAGAUACCCUGGUAGUCCACGCCGUAAACGAUGUCGACUAGCCGUUGGGAGACUUGUUUUCUUAGUGGCGCAGCUAACGCACUAACUCGAGCGCCUGGGGAGUACGGCCGCAAGGUUUAAACUCAAAUGAAUUGACGGCGGCCCGCACAAGCGGUGGAGCAUGUGGUUUAAUUCGACGCAACGCGAAGAACCUUACCUACUCUUGACAUCCAGAGAACUCGCUAGAGAUAGCUUGGUGCCUUCGGGAGCUCUGAGACAGGUGCUGCAUGGCUGUCGUCAGAUCGUGUUGUGAAAUGUAGGGUUAAGUCCCGUAACGAGGGCAACCCUUGUCCUUAUUUGCCAGCACGUAAUGGUGGGAACUAUAAGGAGACUGCCGGUGACAAACCGGAGGAAGGUGGGGACG
rnacentral:rRNA from 1 species